AUAUGCGGCUGACAGCAGGCAGCAGCCGAGGUGGCGUUUUCUCCUCAAUGUCUGUAGCGUCACGUCAGAACUGAUCUCGGUUUUGCUGAAAUACCUAGUACACAAGCUCCCAAAGAAAAACAGUAAUAAUGUGCAAAAUGUAAAGAUGUUAGUGGGUUUUGCUCCAAGAGUACCCAGAAAAAAAUGUCAACCACUUGGACAAAUAGAAGGCAGAGGCAAUGAUCAGAGUACUCCAGUGGGUGUCUGCCUGCCCAGGGAUGGAGCGCCUGUCAGAUCCAGCCAUAGGUCUCUCUGGGUGCGAGAUUGAAACAUUUCCCCUGGACAACAGUUCUCUGAAAUCCUUGUGCUUUGGACUGGAAAGAACAUCAUCACCCUAAGAUCCCCAGCUGCAGGCUUGCCUGCAGGUGCCUAGUGCCACCUGAACCACAGGGCUCAGCCCUUUGAUCAUGAUGGAGAGGAGCACUGAUGUUGGCAGACUGAGAGCAGAGAUCCCAACUGGCAUUGUGAGACACUGAACACCAUGAUAUCACCUGUUUCCUUAAAAAACCAAGCAUCCUAAAGGACCAUCUGGACAGGUGUGGUGGUGCACACCUGUAAUCCCAGCGACUCAGGAGGCUGAGGACAUGAAACAACUCCCACAGACCUUGAUGAAGGACAUCUGGUACCAGCUGGGGAGACGGGGUGUUCCUCUGCACCCAGCCUUGCACACAUUUUCAACAUUUGUCUGUACCGUCUUAAACCCAGCAAAAGCCUCUUGGUGACCUCCAAGAAGAAAUACUUCAUUUUCUCCCAUCCUACC